GUUGCCCUCCUUCCGUGAAUACCAGCAUAGUACAAAUGCCUUUCGAAAAGCCACUUCUUUGGUGCCACACUGAAAGAACUCAAGGCCAGCCAGCUCCACUGACCUAAAUUGGAUGUAGACUGAAUUAAAUGUAAUGGAUACAGGAGGAAAGGCAGGUGCUAAAAGUACAGUCAUAAGCCUGCAGAAAGCUAUCAGACAUGGAACACCCUUGACUCUUGGUCUCAAAAGAUGCACAGACCUACAGCAGGUGGGGACGCAACUGAAAGUUUUGCACUCUGGACACCUGGAAUUUCCACUCACUUCAGUUACAGCUCUGCCAGACCUCAAUGUUGAGGGCCUUGAGAUGACACAGCACCGGGCUCCCUGGCUCCCGUGGAAGUGGCACGCACCUUCCGUCACAGAUAGCCGGAACACAGGCAAGGGAAGUCCAGCUGCUUGAGCCCGACAGUGUGUCACUACAGGCUGUGGAGUCAUGUACAAAAGAAUGCUGAAGUCAGAACAAGUCUAGUCAUUACACCUGCUAGAAGGACGUUUUGCUUGUAGGCAAUCACGCAUAAGAACCCUCUUUCAUAACCUCUGCAGCUCUACUUAUUUUGGGAGAUUGACACACAGGGGACCCUUUGAUGCUUGUAACUUCCGCCCUUUGUCUCUGAAUGUAUAUUUUUCUUUCCUAAAGGCAUUGCCAGCUAAUCAUCCACAGCCUUGUCCCCCAGUGCCGAGGCAGCUUUCCCCAGUGAGGGUCCGUCAGGACAGGCCUCGUGUUGGAGGGGUUGUGACAGGUGAUGAGAGUCAGUGAUGUAAACCUUUCUUGACAGUAAUAAAACAGAGGGAGAAAAAUUAUUGUAUAAAGCAUGGAUGAUGUAUCUCAAAGUGUGCCUUGGUUUAGUACAAUUGUCUUAUGUGUUUUGUGUUCUUUGGCCUGUUAGUCUGGCUGUUAACCUGUAGGUAUGAUAAUUAACUUGAUAAAGACGUAAAUUAAUGAAUGAAUCUGAUGCUGGCAAAGUACAUUUUUUUAAAGAGGGGAUGUAGCAGGAGGGGAAAAACAGGAAUUGAGCUGUGUUACGUACCAUUCCGCACAAUGAAUUGUAUUAUGUAUGGCAAACGUAUACUAAUAAAAAUGAGAAAUUAGAAAGAAAGCCAAUCUUUCUGUAAAGCAAGCUUAGUUCUUCUGGAAAGGGAUAUCAAGCAAAUAUUUAAGAGUCCUCUCUGUUUGUAAACCAAUGUGAAUUAUCAUUUAGGAGAAAACAAACAAUUUACUAAUGCCAAGAACAAUAAUUACAGUUUAGUAACAUCUUUAGGAUUUUUAGGUACACAUACAGAACUAUAAACAAUUUUUAAUAGUGUACCAAAAUUAAUAUCUGUAUUCCCAACUAAGAACAUACAUUUUUGAGCAAUACUGUCUCUUAUGGACCAAGAGGAAUAUGGCUUUUGCCAGUUAUAUGACUAUUAGCAAUACCUAAUGUAACAAUUAAGCAAAACAAUUUGAUAACUUUUACAAUAUAUUAGACAACAAUCAU
rnacentral:lncRNA from 1 species